rfam:Phaeospirillum molischianum DSM 120, WGS project CAHP01000000 data, contig: DSM120_global_c13-2373
GGUUUGCUGCGCGGUGCGUCAGACAGCCUACGUCCCUGGGGCCAAUAACGACCUCUCGGGGGCUGUCCCUGCCGGAAUCGUGGUUCCGGCAUAUGGCCACCCACCUGCGUAAGCAGGCCACAGAGGACAUGCACGUCAACGGCCGAGGUGGCGCCGCU